rnacentral:rRNA from 1 species
UACGUAGGUGGCAAGCGUUGUCCGGAUUUACUGGGCGUAAAGCGCGCGCAGGCGGACUGGUCAGUCCGGGGUGAAAUCUCACGGCUCAACCGUGAGCGGUCCCCGGAUACUGCCAGUCUUGAGGUGUCUAGAGGAGAGCGGAAUUCCCGGUGUAGUGGUGGAAUGCGUAGAUAUCGGGAAGAACACCAGUGGCGAAAGCGGCUCUCUGGGGACCACCUGACGCUGAGGCGCGAAAGCGUGGGGAGCGAACAGG